AUGAACCUGGCGCGUGCUACACAGCAAGCGAGCGAGAAGUCCCGGAACGGAUGAGACAGCGGGAACGGUGAGUAACGCGUGGUAAUUUCCCUCCAGCUCGGAAUACCCGCCGAAAGGUGGGCUAAUACCGGAUGAUGUUCCUGUGCGGAUCCUGCCGGAAGCAAAGGGGGCGAGCGUAAGCAGCUCUCACUAGAGGAGGAGCCUGCGUCCGAUUAGCUAGUUGGGGGGUAAUGGCCUACCAAGGCGACGAUCGGUAGCCGGCCUGAGAGGGCGACCGGCCACACUGGAACUGAGACACGGUCCAGACUCCUACGGGAGGCAGCAGUGGGGAAUCUUGCGCAAUGGGCGAAAUCCUGACGCAGCGACGCCGCGUGGGCGAUGAAGGCCUUCGGGUCGUAAAGCCCUGUCGGGUGGGACGAAUCUCCUGGUGGCGAAUAACCACCGGGCUUGACGGUACCACCGAAGGAAGCCCCGGCUAACUACGUGCCAGCAGCCGCGGUAAUACGUAGGGGGCGAGCGUUGUUCGGAUUUACUGGGCGUAAAGCGCGCGUAGGCGGCCUGAUAAGUCGGAUGUGAAACCCCUCGGCUUAACCGAGGAUCCGCAGCCGAAACUGCCAGGCUUGAGUCUAGGAGAGGAGAGCGGAAUUCCCAGUGUAGCGGUGAAAUGCGUAGAUAUUGGGAGGAACACCAGUGGCGAAGGCGGCUCUCUGGACUAGUACUGACGCUGAGGCGCGAAAGCUAGGGGAGCGAACGGGAUUAGAUACCCCGGUAGUCCUAGCCGUAAACGAUGGGCACUAGGUGUGGGAGGUAUCGACCCCUCCUGUGCCGCAGCUAACGCAUUAAGUGCCCCGCCUGGGGAGUACGGCCGCAAGGUUG
rnacentral:rRNA from 1 species